ACGCCUUAUACAUGCAAGUCGAACGAAGUAGCAAUACUUAGUGGCAGACGGGUGAGUAACAUGUGGGUAUCUUCCCUUUGGCCUGGAAUAACACGAGGAAACUUGUGCUAAUACUGGAUAAGUCUUUACGGAGAAAGCUUUAUGCACCAUUGGAUGAGCCCGCACUUGAUUAGUUUGUUGGUGGGGUAAUGGCCUACCAAGACAAUUAUCAAUAGCUGAUUUGAGAGGAUGAUCAGCCACAUUGGAACUGAGACACGGUCCAAACUCCUACGGGAGGCAGCAGUAGGGAAUCUUGCACAAUGGAGGAAACUCUGAUGCAGCGAUGCCGCGUGAGUGAAGAAGGCCCUUGGGUUGUAAAGCUCUUUCGUCGGGGAAGAAAAUGACUGUACCCGAAUAAGAAGGUCCGGCUAACUUCGUGCCAGCAGCCGCGGUAAUACGAAGGGACCUAGCGUAGUUCGGAAUUACUGGGCUUAAAGAGUUCGUAGGUUGUUAAAAAAGUUGGUGGUGAAAUCCCAGAGCUUAACUCUGGAACUGCCAUCAAAACUUUUUAGCUAGAGUAUGAUAGAGGAAAGCAGAAUUUCUAGUGUAGAGGUGAAAUUCGUAGAUAUUAGAAAGAAUACCAAUUGCGAAGGCAGCUUUCUGGAUCAUUACUGACACUGAGGAACGAAAGCAUGGGUAGCGAAGAGGAUUAGAUACCCUCGUAGUCCAUGCUGUAAACGAUGUGUGUUAGACGUUGGAAAUUUAUUUUCAGUGUCGCAGCGAAAGCGAUAAACACACCGCCUGGGGAGUAC
rnacentral:rRNA from 1 species